rnacentral:rRNA from 1 species
UACGUAGGGGGCAAGCGUUGUCCGGAAUCACUGGGCGUAAAGCGCACGUAGGCGGGACGGUGCGUCGGUGCUGAAAGCGCCAGGCUUAACCUGGCGAGGCGUGCCGAUACGACCGACCUCGAGGCAGACAGAGGGUGGCGGAAUUCCGGGUGUAGUGGUGAAAUGCGUAGAGAUCCGGAGGAACGCCGGUGGCGAAAGCGGCCACCUGGGUCUGACCUGACGCUGAGGUGCGAAAGCGUGGGGAGCAAACCGG